CAAUCUCUUAUCAGUGGUUCUUCGUUAUCUUUUUGAAAGUCUGUACUCCCCUGUACUCCCCCAUCCCAUGUGAUUUGGAUUUAUCAAACAAAUUUGCAUGUAUAUUAUUCAUUUUAGCAUCUAAAAAAUGCUUAUAUCAUGGGUUUGAAAUUGAAUACAGCUCGAUUUAUUAUAAAAUUCGUCGCAAAAUUGAAAAGUGAUGAUGUAAAAAUUACACAUUAUCAACGACACCAGGUGGAAUUUUUAUUUAAUAAUCUGUGUGACCUGGCAAAAUUUAAGCUUGGGUUAACUAUCCCAUAUCAACUGGAAUCAUUGAAACCUCAGUUGGAAGAUGAAGCAUUAUCACCAGAGAUGAAAAUUCAAUUUGCUGACAAGUUUCAGAAGUAUAUGCGAAUGUUUAUUUCACAUGGCAUCAUAAUUGAGUGGCAGAUAGAAUUCUAUUGUGAAUUAUUAUGCAUUAGAUGUGGGUUCGAUGUUAAAGAAGCUUUUUUGUGGUUAAAGUGUGGUGAUUAGGUUAAAAAAAAGUUUCUGUUUGUAAAUUAUGUGUGAUAUAUUGAUAGUAAUAAGAUGUCACCUAAUCCUGCAUGCAUGUUUGUUUAAUUAGUUGAAUGAUUCAAGUAUUUUUUUAUUCGAAUUUGAUUUGAUUACAUUUUUGAAAAGGUUCAGUAUGAAUGUUGUUCUUCAUUUUAAAAGUAUUGCAGCUACGAACUAGUACGGUGUUUCAUUUUUGAAUGUGAAUGUGCGAUUGAGUGAAAGUAAGAGAGUGAAGUAGGUAUGAGGCAAUUUCGGUAUUUUUAAAAUGAUCGUAAAGUUGAAUGAUCUAUGUUUUUCAUCGAGUAACACAUCAUGAUCGAUGGCAGUUACGUUUUUGAUAAAUUUUGAAAUUGAAAAAAAAAUGAAAAAACCUUAAGUAGGCCAGUCAUGAAAGAAAUUUUUACAGAAAAAAUGAAUAUCAAACAGAUCUUUCUCACAAGGGAAGCCCCCCACAUGAUAAUAUCUGAUUUGAAUGAAACUUAGACCGUUGGUAAGAGGACCUCAAGGUUAAAAAGACCUCCAAAAGGACCCCAACCAUCUCCAGCUGCUGUUCAAUCAGUGAAAGAAAGACUAGCUCAACAAAGUCUAGCAGCUCCUCCGGCAGUUACCGUAUCAUCGGAAAAUUCAUUGAAUAUACUGAAAAAGAAAAAAGCUCCUUUGAUGAUGAAUCGCUGCAAUUAUUAAAAGGCAUGAAACGUUGAAAUCGUGCGGAUAAUUUGACUACGAAGAUAGAUGUUAGUUUUUAAUGUAUAUAAUUUUUAUUAUGUUGUUUUUCUUAUUUUUAUUUACUCUUACAAUGUGAGAUUUCUGCAACAUUGAGGAUGAAAUUUUAGUGACCUACCUAGCUAAAAAGGUUUGAUUCGAACAAGUCGUAUUGAUGUGUGAAUUCAAAAUGUUAUUUAUGUUUUUCUACAUCUGCGCAUCAUUUAACUAGUUGAUCUUUUUUUUAUUAAUAGUUCCUUGUUAUAUUGUGGAAAAUGUUGAUGAGUGUUUUUGAGUUUUUUAUAUGUUCGUUAUGAGAUCGUGAUUUUGUUUUAAAUAAAUAAGUACAUACUUACGUUUUAUUAUUAUUAGUAUCGUUAGUACCUAUCUCUUUAAUAUCUAAUCAUACCGUCGAUAUUAUCCAAGUUUUUUAAAUGCGUGAAAAAGUUAGAUUUUGUUUUUCAAGUU